CCAUCAGGGACAGUGGUCCUGCUGGUUCUCUGUGUUCUGCUGGCUGCUGCUCUCAUCAUUAUCACACUCUCUGUAAGCCUGAACAAGGAGAAUGCUCUGAGAAAUGAUGGUCAACACUGUGUGGUGUUAGAAGGAGACUGGGAGCCUCAUGGAGGAAAGUGUUAUUUCUUCAACACCUGUGGGCUCACCUGGAAGGAG